rnacentral:rRNA from 1 species
UACGAAGGGGGCUAGCGUUGCUCGGAAUCACUGGGCGUAAAGCGCACGUAGGCGGACUCUUAAGUCGGUGGUGAAAUCCUGGAGCUCAACUCCAGAACUGCCUUCGAUACUGGGAGUCUUAGAGUCCGGGAGAGGUGAGUGGAACUCCGAGUGUAGAGGUGAAAUUCGUAGAUAUUCGGAAGAACACCAGUGGCGAAGGCGACUUACUGGACGACUGUUGACGCUGAGGUGCGAAAGCGUGGGGAGCAAACAGG